rnacentral:rRNA from 1 species
UACGUAGGGGGCUAGCGUUGUCCGGAAUCAUUGGGCGUAAAGAGCGUGUAGGCGGUCCGGUAAGUCCGCUGUGAAAGUCGGGGGCUCAACCCUCGAAUGCCGGUGGAUACUGUCGGGCUAGAGUGCGGAAGAGGCGAGUGGAAUUCCUGGUGUAGCGGUGAAAUGCGUAGAUAUCUGGAGGAACACCGGUGGCGAAGGCAGCUCGCUGGGACGGUACUGACGCUGAGACGCGAAAGCGUGGGGAGCAAACAGG